rnacentral:rRNA from 1 species
UACGUAGGGGGCUAGCGUUGUCCGGAAUCAUUGGGCGUAAAGAGCGUGUAGGCGGCCCGGUAAGUCCGCUGUGAAAGUCGGGGGCUCAACCCUCGAAUGCCGGUGGAUACUGUCGGGCUAGAGUGCGGAAGAGGCGAGUGGAAUUCCUGGUGUAGCGGUGAAAUGCGCAGAUAUCAGGAGGAACACCAAUUGCGAAGGCAGCUCGCUGGGACGUAACUGACGCUGAGACGCGAAAGCGUGGGGAGCGAACGGG